rnacentral:pre_miRNA from 14 species
CAUUCGGGGUUCCGGGGGUCACGCUCCGAUCCCGGACGAGCCCCCAAAUGAAAGAGCGUACCCCUAAAUGGGGAACGUGUCUCUUGCUCCAAUUGUGGGAUGGGGUGCCCCCAGGAACCACGAGGAGCC